UGCUAGGCAUUUGUGACUCACUACACUCAUUGUUCAAGUUGUUGGCAACAACUGUGUAGAAUUUCAGAUCUCUAGGACAAAGGGUUUUGAUGCUGUGAGCCUUUGUGUAAACAAAAUGACAAUUCGGCACAAGAUUGCCAAAUUUGUGCCAAAAUAAUAAUAAUAAUAAAAAAAGAAUAAUAAUAAUAAUUGUUAUUAUUAUAAUACUACUUCUUCUGAGCUUUAGGCAUGUUUUCUCAAGAAAAAAAAACUAAAAGUAGCCAAAAUUGUCUUCCAAGCGUCAGAUCUGUCCACUAUGGCCCCUCCCCCACUGCUUCUCUGUGUCUCUGUUGCUCUUGUAAACACAGCGUCUGUUUCAAAGACUGUCUGCAUGCCCCACCCACCGUUUGAAAGCUCUGGUGAUAGGUUAAAACAAUAUGUCAAUCACUGGAAGAUCCAAUGACUGAAGAGAUUUCCCGUAAACAAACUGAUGACGCGUGCGUAAAGCCAGGAAGUACGUGGGUGCGUUAGCUUCUUCAGCGGCUUGUCCCAGCUAAACCCCGGCACCGACAACAGCGGGGAGGGUCUCAUUUUGAAGCUAAGAGUGUGAGGAAAACAAGCGUACCCAAGAGCGCCAAGAGAAACGGAACUCAGAGAGGGAGAAGGCAACAUAUUUUCAUUCACGCAUUCAUCCAUUCAUACGGACGAGGAUUUUCUGGAUUAUUUACCCACAUGGAAUUAUUUUAUGGAAAAAACAACUUGAUAUUCUUUUUCUGUGGAUUAUUACGGACUUAUUGAGUACAACUUUUCAUGGAUUGAACGCGUGUUGGACCGACAGAACCGGCUCAAAGCUGAGAGAUAUUUGACUUGCAGGAGGAAGCAGAUCCUCAGGAUAGAUUGAAGAUGCUCAUCAGUGAGCCUUGACCUGUAGUUUGAUGGUGCUUUCACACACUUUCACACUGGUGUGAACGCGAACCCGGGUCCAAACCACAGACAGCAGGUCCAAACGAACUAUUCGAAAUGCAUCAUGGGAGAAACGCGUCUCCUUUGCCUGUAAUGACGCUGUACGACUCCAGCGCAGUAACAGAUUGUUGUCCACACACAGCCGCGAUUCAUUUUCGAAUUAUUUUACCAACAAUGGCCAAUACAGAGAAUGUAACACACGAAGAUCAGAGCAAGAACCAAUGUGUGAACGUGUGGCUCCAGAGUGAGUCAAAAAUGGGGGUGUGUACUUCUGUUCAGGACCUGCACAGAGGACCCGGUGUUCCCCGUGAUCAUGUAGGAACCACACUGAAAAAACGGUCCGAGAGGGGUUGCUCAAAUUGCAAAAACAAAUUUGACAACAAUAACAUCACUUUUUUACGUUUCUCUGUCCAGCAUGUUUAAAUCUUACAAACAUCGCUUGAUUGUGGCCGAUGUGAGACCUGCAUGUUUUAAUCAGGUUGAGGAAGCAUGACUAUUAUAAUCUGUGGUGAGGAUCCUUCCUCUGGAAUUCUCCUCCCCAAAACUUUUGGAGGGAAAAUUCAGAUGUAGCAGGACACAGGACAGAUCCAGGAGCAGAGACACACAGUGUGGAGCAGGAGGAUUAUGAAGCUGAUCUGGAGGUGAGACUUUUCAAAGAUUUUAUUAUGUACUUCUCCAGCCUAGAAUGUCUUCACUGUUAAAACAUGUUUGUGGUGUUUUAUUUGAAAUUAGAGUUAAUGUAAGGACAGCUUGAAACAAAUAGUCUUUGACUGUCCAUCUACAAGAGUGUGACACUUGUACUCAGAGUUGAAUGUGUUUGUUCCAGAGUCGUGUACAAACACAGAGACGUCCAGGUUCUGCUGCAGCUGUGGGGAAGUUCAUGAAUGUUAUAGCUGAUGUUUCAGAAAAAAGGAAGAUGUUUGAGAACCAACAAACCACAGAGCACAGAUGAACAAAGGUGAUGUGGCAUUAGGAGACUUUAUACCAGAUGCCCUCCCUGUUACUGUGUUUAGAGGAAGAAAAGCAGCACAUGAGACCAGAGCUUCACUGGAAUAAAUCUUCACACUGUCCAACUCCAAACUGUGUGUCUCUGUCCCUG